GUGAUGCUGGUGCCGCUGCUCUGGGGCUCACAGGCUAGGGGGUGGGGGGUUGGGGGGUGCAGGGCUUUGGAACUCAAUUCCUCCAAUGGAUCCCAAUCCUGCCUACACGUCAGAAUCUCCUAGGGGAACCGUAAAAUGCGCAGAAGCAGGGUCCACUUUUAAUUUAACUGGUCUCAGUUGGAACAGAGACAUCAGUUCUUACAAGGAAUCUCCUCUCUGCAGCCAGGGAUGAGAAGUAUAUGGCUUCAGACUUUACUCUCAAGGGCAUGGUUCUUGGACCAGCAACAGCAGCUUCACAUGGGAGAGGGUUAAAAUUAAAACCCCCAGGCCCCUCCAGAAGAUCCCCUGGAGGAGGGAAUGGCAACCCACUCCUGUACUCUUGCCUGGAAAAUCCCAUGGACAGAAGAGCCUGGAAGGCUGCAGUCCAUGGAGUUGCUGAGGGCCAGACACAACUGAGUAACUCCACUUUAACUUUUCACUUUCAUGCAUUGAAGAAGGAAAUGGCAAGCCACUCCAAUGUCCUUGCCUGGAGAAUCCCAGGGACGGGGGAGCCUGGUGGGCUGCCGUCUAUGGGGUCGCAUAGAGUCGGACAUGAGUGAAGUGACUUAGCAGCAGCAGCAGCCAAGCAAGAGACAUGGAUUCGAUCCCUGGGUGGGGAAGAUCCCCUGGAAGAGGGAAUGGCAACCCACUCCUAUACUCUUGCCUGGGAAAUCCCAUGGACAGAGGUGCCUGAUGGUGGUCCCAAUGAGUCAAACAGAAAUAAGUGACUAACACUUUCAGUG
ensembl:lncRNA